rnacentral:rRNA from 1 species
GGGCCCGCACAAGCGGUGGAGCAUGUGGUUUAAUUCGAUGAUACGCGAGGAACCUUACCAGGGCUUAAAUGGGAAAUGACAGGGGCAGAGACGCCCCCUUCUUCGGACAUUUUUCAAGGUGCUGCAUGGUUGUCGUCAGCUCGUGCCGUGAGGUGUCAGGUUAAGUCCUAUAACGAGCGCAACCCCUACCGUUAGUUGCCAGCGUGUAAUGACGGGGACUCUAACGGAACUGCCCGUGAUAAGCGGGAGGAAGGUGUGGAUGACGUCAAGUCCUCAUGGCCCUUACGGGUUGGGCUACACACGUGCUACAAUGGUAGUGACAAUGGGUUAAUCCCCAAAAACUAUCUCAGUUCGGAUUGUCGUCUGCAACUCGACGGCAUG